rnacentral:lncRNA from 1 species
GUGACACUUGUGCCAACCCUUUCCUAGAGCUGCUGUGGUGUGGCUGUGAGCUGGCAGCUUGCAGAGCUGCCCAUACCUUUGAACCUGAGUGCUGGGAAUGAAAAGCACAGGGUGGAUGGAAUUUGUGCUCUUGUGCAGCACUUGUAUAUCCCUGCAGUUCUCGCUUUGGAGUUUGUGCAGCCUCUCCUCUGUUCUUGUGUCAUUCUUGGCCCAAGGGUGACAUAUGGGCACAGAGCUGAUGGGAUGGGCAGUGCAGAGUGAGCCAGCAGGUGCCUUUCUCAGCAGUCUCAGCACAACAGAUGAGGUUGCACACCCAGGCUUUGGAUCACAGCCUGAAUUGCCAUGCUGAGUCUUACAGAAAGCUCAAGUGUUGUUCCCACCACCCUCUUCAUUUUAAUGGGGUCUGCACUCUGGGCUGAACAGAUCUUCAUGCUCUACAGAGAAGCAACUUCUGGAAGACUGAAUUUGAAUAGGAUCUCCACUACUCCAAGCAAGAGAAAUUUUGUGUCACAGGAAACUGCACAUUUAUGGCUCUAUCUCAUUCUGAACUGUGCCAAAAAGGAUGGUAUUCAUGGGUAGUCUCAGGAGAUUAAUCUUUCUCUGUUAGCCAGUCUUGGUGAGCAAAUCCUGGAAAUAUUCCUCUUUCAGGACCUUUGCAGAAUACUUUGACAUCUAAUGUUUCUUUUAGAAUAUGAAACCAGACUGGUAGAAUUGCUGGAGUGUUAAAUUACUACAUGGUGUCUGUCUCCUGGAGGAAGAGGGUAAAAAACUGGAAAGCAAAAGUCUCCCACUGGAAUCUUGGCUUGAGGUGAAUAGAUGAAUGACAAAAUCUUUGUUCUGCAGUAGGGCCUGUCUGACCUUUCCUUUCCUGUUGAGUUGUGAAACAACAAAGUAAACAUUUAACUGAAUGUGGCAGCCUGAGACAAUUGGCCCUAUUGUAGAAGGAACUCCAGUCCCUUUACUCUGCAUAAAUUCUCUUUGCUGGCAAUGCUAAUAGAGCUGCAGUAGAAGAAAGCCAGGCCUUUCUUUGGGCAAGACCCAAGUUUAAGCAGAAAUACAAGUGGCUUAGUCCCUGAAAGUGUCCUGGAUGCAGCAGGGCUGCUGAGGAUCACCCAUGGUCAGAGCACUUUCAAAGGUAUUUUGUUUGUAGCAUAGGAAAUUAAUUUGUAAUACUGAAGUCUUCAAAGUCCUGCCAUCAGGCUUGUUGGGACUGGUUGGAUAUGAUUUCGUUACUAACAGAACAAUGGCAGGAUGGAAUUGCUGAGAUGUAUUCCUUGUACAAAAGGGAAUAAUUUCCAAACUGCUUUCCUUGAUUUCAUGGCACUGUCAUGACACUGCAUUCCCAGCUGAGGUGGGCUUCUGAGCAUGAAUAAACCCAUGAGUUCUAAAAUGCUGGAAAUGAAC